UUGAACGCUGGCGGCAUGCUUUACACAUGCAAGUCGAACGGUAGCAGGCCUUCGGGUGCUGACGAGUGGCGAACGGGUGAGUAAUGCAUCGGAACGUGCCCAAUCGUGGGGGAUAACGUAGCGAAAGUUACGCUAAUACCGCAUACGCCCUGAGGGGGAAAGUGGGGGACCGCAAGGCCUCACGCGAAUGGAGCGGCCGAUGUCAGAUUAGCUAGUUGGUGGGGUAAAGGCCCACCAAGGCGACGAUCUGUAGCGGGUCUGAGAGGAUGAUCCGCCACACUGGGACUGAGACACGGCCCAGACUCCUACGGGAGGCAGCAGUGGGGAAUUUUGGACAAUGGGCGCAAGCCUGAUCCAGCCAUGCCGCGUGCGGGACGAAGGCCUUCGGGUUGUAAACCGCUUUCAGCCGGAAAGAAAUCGCUGUUUUUAAUACGGACAGUGGAUGACGGUACCGGAAGAAGAAGCACCGGCUAACUACGU
rnacentral:rRNA from 1 species